CCUACGGGCGCAGCAGUGGGGAAUAUUGGACAAUGGGCGAAAGCCUGAUCCAGCCAUGCCGCGUGUGUGAAGAAGGCCUUCGGGUUGUAAAGCACUUUCAGUGGGGAAGAAAGCCUUGGGGCUAAUACCCUCGAGGAAGGACAUCACCCACAGAAGAAGCACCGGCUAACUCCGUGCCAGCAGCCGCGGUAAUACGGAGGGUGCGAGCGUUAAUCGGAAUUACUGGGCGUAAAGCGCGCGUAGGCGGUCUGAUAAGCCGGUUGUGAAAGCCCCGGGCUCAACCUGGGAACGGCAUCCGGAACUGUCAGGCUAGAGUGCAGGAGAGGAAGGUAGAAUUCCCGGUGUAGCGGUGAAAUGCGUAGAGAUCGGGAGGAAUACCAGUGGCGAAGGCGGCCUUCUGGACUGACACUGACGCUGAGGUGCGAAAGCGUGGGUAGCAAACAGGAUUAGAUACCCUGGUAGUC
rnacentral:rRNA from 1 species